UGCCUCUUGACAUAAGAUGGGAGGUACGUCCUGCCCGGUGAAUUACGGUUUUAACGGCCGCGGUACUCUGACCGUGCAAAGGUAGCAUAAUCAUUUGCCUUUUAAAUGGAGGCUGGUAUGAAUGGAUAAACGAGGGGUCAGUUGUCUCUUUAUUACUUUUAAAAAUUAACCUCUAGGUGAAGAUGCCUAGAUUGUCCUAAAAGACAAGAAGACCCUAUUGAGUUUUACCCAUAGCUUCUCAUUUUGUUAAUAGUCUUAUAUGAUGAGAUAAGAAGUAGGGGUUUAGUUGGGGCGACUGGGGAACAUGGAAGAGCUUCCCUUAAAUAAAAGGCUUUAAGCCCUGAAAUUGACCCGCAUAGAGCGAUCAAAAGACGUAACUACCAUAGGGGUAACAGGCUAAUUUCCUUAGAGAGAUCACAUUGACUAGGAAGAUUGGCACCUCGAUGUUGGCUUAAGGUGACCUUCGAGUGCAGCAGCCCGAAUAGGUUGGUUUGUUCAACCAUUAAAAUCUUACGUG
rnacentral:rRNA from 1 species